ensembl:lncRNA
GUUCAAACGCGGAGACAUCGUAAGCCGCCCAUUCACGGGACUACGCAGUGAGGGGUGGUGUUAUUACUGUGAAGAGAGUGAUGAGUGCGGGGGCACCUGUGAGCGGCCUGGCAACGGGGCGAGGGCGGUGCCAGCUGAUCAGUCACACCCCGUUAAGGCUACCCCAAUAGUAGUGCAGCAAGAUCAAAAACUUUGGUGGUGAGAACUGGACAGUAUGAACAUCUGCUGGCAAUAACACAUACACACAGUGCCAAAAUGUGGGCUGUGAGGACUUCAGGGAGUCAAACAAACAUCCUGCAGUGGCCCGAUGAGGAAUUCAAUUCCUAAGGAAAUUGCCUUUGAGGACUUUGCUUCCCAGAAGAGUAUGGCCAUAUCUUCAUUGGAAAAUAAAAAGAAGCUAUUUUACUUUGCUUGUUUUUGUCCACUUCUGUUGUAAAUAACAACAAUUAAUUAAUUGAUUAAUCAAGCAAGCUUUGAGAAAGUAGGCAUUCACUGCCAUUGGACAACACUUGUUUAUUAAAUUUAUUAAAGAGGAGGUCAUCAUGAUGCCUACCUUUACAUAACAGAGGAAUGGCUGUUGUGAACUGGGGAAUUCCCCAGCUUAAGGUAGUAGAGAUGGAAACGUAGCAGCAAACGCAUUGAAAGUCUCCAAGUGGGUGAAUGAACACUGUGGUUGAAUCCUAUACAAAUUCAGGAGCGCUGCAGGAAGACCCUGCCUAUUGCUAGAGGUAGCAAUUGUUUCUUUGGCCAAAGAUAGGUAGACAUAUGGGAGCUUUUUGUGAGAUCAGUGGACACUGGUGGGAUGAUUUGUAAAGGACCACAAUCAACUUGGAAUAGAAAC